rnacentral:lncRNA from 1 species
GACAGCCUAUUUCUUGUGCUUCAAAGAACAUAUUCCUAAUAAUUUGGGCCACUAUUUUGUUCCUUUCUAGUGUUUUUAUUGUGUGUGGAAAAAUCCUUCAGGUUAAUUCCUCAGUUUUACUCAGAACUAGAAUGCCUGGCAGUGUGAGGUCAGUGUUAUCACCAAUUCCCAACCACCAUCAGGAAGGACCACACUUAACCCAGCUGUGACUGAUAGAUAACUCCUGGCUUAGCAGAAACUGUGAGCUUGUGCGUGAUGGUUAAGCAACGUAAUAAAGGAACCAGCUCUAGUGGAGAGA